rnacentral:rRNA from 1 species
AUUGAACGCUGGCGGAAUGCUUUACACAUGCAAGUCGAACGGCAGCACGGACUUCGGUCUGGUGGCGAGUGGCGAACGGGUGAGUAAUAUAUCGGAACGUGCCCAGUCGUGGGGGAUAACGUAGUGAAAAUUACGCUAAUACCGCAUACGAUCUAAGGAUGAAAGCGGGGGAUCGCAAGACCUCGCGCGAUUGGAGCGGCCGAUAUCAGAUUAGGUAGUUGGUGAGGUAAAGGCUCACCAAGCCAACGAUCUGUAGCUGGUCUGAGAGGACGACCAGCCACACUGGAACUGAGACACGGUCCAGACUCCUACGGGAGGCAGCAGUGGGGAAUUUUGGACAAUGGACGCAAGUCUGAUCCAGCCAUUCCGCGUGCAGGACGAAGGCCUUCGGGUUGUAAACUGCUUUGUACGGACGAAAAGGUCUGGGUUAAUACCCUGGGCUCAUGACGGUACCGUAAGAAUAAGCACCGGCUAACUACGUG